rnacentral:lncRNA from 1 species
CGCUUAACCGACUGAGCCACCCAGACACCCCUUGUCAUUUAUUUUUUAAUGUUUAUUUAUUUAUUUUGAGACAGAGCAUGAGCAAGCCGGGAAAGUGCAGAGAGAGGGAGAGAGAGAGAGAGAAUCCCAAGCAGGCUCCGCACUGUCAGCACAGAGCCCCACGCAGAGCUUGAACCCAGGAACCGCAACAUCAUGACGUGAGCUGAAACCAAGAGUUGGAUGCUCAACUGACUGAGCCGUCCAGGCGCCCCGGAAAAAGUGUUGCUUAAUAAGGGUCUUUGGAAAGGAGGGCAACUGCCUUCUACCGAAUAUCUGCUGCGUUCUAGGAGCUUUACCCGUGCGAUCCGUCGGCGUUAACAUUGACACUUUGAAGUUACCCUCAGAAAGGUCAGUGGGGUGGGCAGAGGGAGUCUGUGGUGUGCAUUUCCAGCCUGACAGUUUCCGCCGCCCUUGGUGAAGACCCCACGCAGGUGGCUGGUGCGACUGUGCUCUGAUUACCUUUAAUUCUUAUUAGUGAAGAAACACCUCUCCUUCUAGGAUCCCCUGUAAAAACCUGGGGGAGAAGUA